rnacentral:rRNA from 1 species
UCGACAAUCUUAAUAACAUAUCCCUAUCCUCUCCACAAAUUUAACAUAGAUAGAGAUAGAGAACAUUGCUGGAGGGGCCAGCUAGAGAAAGACAAGGCCAGUUAGAGAGGGAUCAGCUAGAAGAGGAGACAUUGAACAGGUGGUUCCGAAACGGAGUUAUAUAUGUUGCGCCGGGCUCUGUUUACCAAGAUGCGAAGGGUUUGAUAAAAUGUACCAUUGUCUCGGAGAAGGAGUAGUCUAGUUCUCUCUAGCGUAGAUCGAUGGCAAGCGCUGGCUCGGUACAGGUGGUGGAGGCGGAGGUACAGCGGGUCGUGGUACCCGCGCUAGUGGUCGUGGAGGAGGCGGAGGUGGAAACGAAGGAGUAGGUGUUGAUGGUUAUGGAAGGAGCCUAGCGGUGGUGUCCUCUUCGACUGUUCCCCCUUGAAGGAGGAGACCUUUCGGUAGCACGAAGGAGUCUAGUUCCCACGAGUCUACCUCGUGGUAGAACUGCGGUGCUAGGGCGGUGGCGGCCGGUGGGAGUGGUAGUGGUUCCUGCCGUUUCUUCUCGUUCAGUAAUUGAGACGGACGUGGGAGACCAUACGCGUUGUUGUUGUUGAGGUUCCCAAGAACUACCCAAGGAAAAGGGCGCUCUAAGACAGGGUCCACCGGUGCGAGGUCUGCGGCCGGCUCCACACCGCGUGGUAGUUGCGGUACAAGUAGCGGGUCUCGUUCCGCGUCCGUUAGUUGUGGGCGUAGCUCGAGUGGUUGGAAUUUUUUCCAUUGAACUGGUACCGUCUCAUGGAGCCGUUCUAGUUUUGGGAGUGGCUACUUCAACGGACGUGGCGGAGCCGGGAGAGGCUGGGCCUCUAGCAGAGGUUCUAAGAACGGCCAGAGCUGUACCUUAUAUUAGGUCAGCAGAGACGCGACCGCCGUGCGCACCUUGGAUAGUGCCAAGGCCUCGACGUAUCGGUCGAUGAGUCGAAGCUGCGGGCGGAGUGGGAGGAGGUGCAGCCGCUAGAAGCCGUUAGAAGACGCAUGAGGCGGAGAGCCCCUGCACCAGCACCGGCACCAGUGGUCCCGUGGUGGGCACCACCGCCUGCGCCAGCGCCACGGAGGAGCCCGCUGCCACGAGCGAGACCUCCGCCGAUGCCGUUGUUGAUGCUGCCGCCGAUGCCGUUGUUGGUGCCCCCACCGCCGAAGUUGUUGUUGUGACCGGCGGCGUUGGGGAGGCGAGCCAGAGCGGGAGCCACAGUUGAAACGUUCUUCCGACCGGUACUCCAGGAACUAACGACCGUAGUGAUACUACUUUUGAAGCAAGGACUGAGGUUUGAUCAACGUCGUCGAUACGCGAUCGUUCCGCCCCUGCCACAGACCAUGCAACUGAGGCCACGAUGUCUAGUGCAGUGAUUACUUGAACUCGUUGAAAGGGAUGCACUCUGUAUAGUACCGUUGCUAGUCUAGGUGUGUCGGUCGCCAUUUCCUAGUCCGUUGCUCCCGUGGAGAGAUAGUGCCAUCUACGCAGCCGCCGGAGAUGGGGUAGAGGAGGCCUCGAGAAUCGUUGUUCGUAGCAGCGCAGAUGAGGUAGCAGUUCGGAAGGAAGCUCGCCACCGUAGUUUCUAAUCCUGUAGGGAGGAGUUAGUAUCAAGCCGUUCAUCAGUUAUUUCUGUUUGAAGGAAACAGUGUAUCAAGUUUGUUUCUCAGACAAACACUUCGUACAGUUACGCGGUUCUCGGUAGUCGAAGGGAUAGGAUUCAGAUGAUCACACGGAGUACGGGGUAAUGUUAACUAGAAGUCACUACAUACCCCAGUACGAGCUCUAAGAAAACCAGAUUUUUUUAUAAUACAAUCGAAAUGACUACUAAUGUCGUUCAAGUGUACCUAAAUAAAUGAAUUCAUAUUUAGGCUUCAGAAAAGUUAGAAGGUUCUCAAAGUCUUCGAUCAACUCGCGGUGAAACUAUCCUUUUAAUAACGUCAGGUUUCACUGACUCCUCCUCUCAUACUUUUUGAGUUGAGGAAGAAGGCAUCGUAACCCUAGUGAGUAAUACACAGAACUGGAGUACGAGUAGUCGUUUUACCAAGACGGCUUGCGUUUGUGGCAGUAUAGUAGCUUCAACCAGAGAGGGAAAAUCGAGUACGUAGAUACGGGGAGUUCAUAACCCUACUACGAAAGUAGUGUUGAUGUAUAGAAUAGUUGGCAGAAGGGUCAUUCCAGUAACCGUUAAGUUGAGGAAAUCUUGCUAACAUAGUAGUUUUCGGUCUGAUGUUGAGAGAUUUUUUUAAACCCACACGUACAAUGGGGUUGGAAGUAGGUAUGUUACCAGUGUUUGAUCUCAAAGCGAGGUGUGUUACACACAAAGAACCCAUAUCGUUGGAAGCAUUUCCCAUAUUUACAGAACUUGGUAGAUAACCUGCGUAGAUAUAGAGGGCACUACAAUAGAAGCUACUUUGUAAUAAGGGAAAAAGAGAAGAAGUAGGGUUACGACCGCGGAACGAAGUACGUCUUUAACGUGAAGAUGGUCUGAUAAGAUGUGUAGGACUAGUGCCCCCACUUAAUUUACUAGUACUAGUACACGUUUUUAGGUGUCUUUUUACGCCAAAUUUACUCAGAACAUGUUUAAGAUGAGCAGUAAAAUACACGUGUGUCCUGUUUCCGUGUCAGAAGCUCUUCCUGGACCGACAGUCGCGUGCUAGGGUCCGUCUAGGCGCCGUCGGACGGCUUGUCUCGCCGUGCGCUAGGCCACGUCUAAACGGGGACCGUCCGCUGUCGCUGUCGUCGGGUCCGCGCCCAGGUCCCCACCGAGACCCACGCGGUGCGGUUCGGCUGGUCCACCCAGUGCACCCAGAUCCACGGCCAGGUCCGCUCAGUGCGGUUCGGCUGGUCCGCCCGGUGUCGCCUGGUCUACGUCCGCACCCAGGUCCGCGUCGCGGAGCGGUUAGGAGCGGACACGCCAGACUAGGCCGACAGCUCACGCCGCGCCCCCCUCGCUGAGGGGCAGACGGUGCAGCCAGCUGGGUCACGCGGCGGUCUGGCUCCUUGUCGCGCGUGGAAGGAGCCUAGUCCUCGGCUAGGUGGUACGACCUAGAAGACACCCGUGGCGGCUUCGACGACCUAGAGGACACGGCGUCAGGUGUCGAUGACUAAAACACCGAGGAAGUGGAGGAGGAGCUGUGUGGUCCAGAGCCAGUCCAUAACAGUUCCUUUUUGUUAUAUCACUACCAUGUUAUUUCAUAUUAGGCUGAUUUGCACGAAAAGAACGAUGAUGACCACUUGGAUAAUUAAACGUACUACGUGAACGAUCGUUCCUAACCUUCCUUCGGUACCUAUUACUCAUCUUACGUGAGUAUUUUUUAGUCUGAACCGCAAAUCAUGGUGGUGUUGCACCACGAUUGUAUUAGCUAACAUUCACCCAUAUGUUCUAUUUUUCCUUUAGAUUACCAUCAUAUCUGUCCAUGUUCCGUUCCAACCAACGUUUUCCAAAAUUCGUUUCCAAACCUUAACUAAUACUACUAUGGAAAUCAGGACACCAAUUCCGUUGAUGGUAAGCGGAACAAAACAGGUAACGGUAAAGGUUUCCUACCUCGAAUGCUGUCGAUCUGCAAGUCUUGCGCAAGGAAGUACCACAAGAACUCCUUCUUCACAAGUACGCCGUUGGUGGCCCAAUACUUUCAGUAUCGUGUGGUGUAAUACAUACAUUCAACCUAUUUCGUAAUAUACCUGAAUUCGUCCGAGGUUCUCGUACCAUAAGAUCCGACUCGUACGUUAAUGUUGUAGAACCCAAGUGCGGUAGGUUUCGUCUAUGUAGGAACAAGAAAAUAUCGUUUCCGUUAUAGUGACAAAAACACGAACAAAUACAACUACUAUAUUAACAACGAUCAAGUUCAGUUCUCCGGUGGUGAACAAACGAAUUCCUAAAUUUUGAACUUAAACGAGAGUUCCUAGAUCCACUAGAAGUGAUAAAAGAACCGUAUCUUCAUUUCGUUCAGUCUCUACCGUAUGAAGAGAGUGUUCUUUUUAUAUGUCGACUACAAGAUUUCUCCCACCCUAACCUCUUAACGUUUGGACAGUCGUGUGGUUAAAGGUGGAGUCUUUUUGAAUGUCAACUAUCACCUCUUCGAGAACCAGGUCUUCUACGUUGUUUAAUAUCUUCACAAUAACCACGAAACGUUAUAAAUUGUGAAUGUGCAGGUCUAUAAAGAAUAAGUCACUUGUUCCAUACAGUUAUAAACGUACGAGGACCUUGAUGAGUAACCUGCCGUCAAUUUUCUUAGGAUUCCAUAGAAGUCAUAAGAGUUCCCGAACCUGAAAUUUAACAGUUCAGGGGAAGGAACGAACAAUGACGUAUAAGACUACGUCUGACCCGUCCCACACAACUACUGUCUUCUAGGUGACCACCAAAACGACACAAAGACCCUAGAUUAGAACACAGUACCUCACGUUCCUUCGUUCGAUGACAGAGUUCUAGUUCAUGUCUCCGACUUAUAUUCAGUAAUCGUUUACGGUAUCGACUUCAUUACACCUAUGUUUGUAAUGAGAUACUCGAACCUUAAUUUCGAGGUUUCCGACGUGCCAAUACCACACUGUUAUAACCACGUUGAAUAGAAAGUCGGUUAGGACAAUAGGUACGUGCUUGUUUUGUAUAACUUCACCUGAAAGUAAAACAGUCUCUCUCAUCGAGUUUUCGAUGAACUCUAUGCCAAGUAAGGAUGUCCCCUAGUUGAACGACUACCCAAGUGAUUUGGGAACUGUCUCUCUUCUAACCUACUCAAGUUUAUGUUAGAGUUGGAAUCGUUCUGAACUCCAAAUCUAACUCCCCCUCACAAUCUUAAUAACAUAUCCCUAUCCUCUCCACAAAUUUAACAUAGAUAGAGAUAGAGAACAUUGCUGGAGGGGCCAGCUAGAGAAAGACAAGGCCAGCUAGAGAGGGAUCAGCUAGAAGAGGAGACAUUGAACAGGUGGUUCCGAAACGGAGUUAUAUAUGUUGCGCCGGGCUCUGUUUCCCAAGAUGCGAAGGG